rnacentral:rRNA from 1 species
AUUGAACGCUGGCGGCAUGCCUUACACAUGCAAGUCGAACGGUAACAGGUCUUCGGAUGCUGACGAGUGGCGAACGGGUGAGUAAUACAUCGGAACGUGCCCGAUCGUGGGGGAUAACGCAGCGAAAGCUGUGCUAAUACCGCAUACGAUCUACGGAUGAAAGCGGGGGAUCGCAAGACCUCGCGCGGACGGAGCGGCCGAUGGCAGAUUAGGUAGUUGGUGGGAUAAAAGCUUACCAAGCCGACGAUCUGUAGCUGGUCUGAGAGGACGACCAGCCACACUGGGACUGAGACACGGCCCAGACUCCUACGGGAGGCAGCAGUGGGGAAUUUUGGACAAUGGGCGCAAGCCUGAUCCAGCCAUGCCGCGUGCAGGAUGAAGGCCUUCGGGUUGUAAACUGCUUUGUACGGACGAAAAGACUCUCUCUAAUACAGGGGUGAAUGACGGUACCGUAAGAAUAAGCACCGGCUAACUACGUGCCAGC